rnacentral:rRNA from 1 species
UACAGAGACCUCAAGCGUUAUCCGGAUUUAUUGGGCGUAAAGGGUACCGCAGGCGGUUUAUUAAGUCAAUAGUUAAAUCCGAUGGCUCAACUGUCGGGCUGCUAUUGAAACUGAUAAACUAGAGACUGGGAGAGGCAAACGGAACUGCUGGUGUAGGGGUAAAAUCCGUUAAUAUCAGCAGGAACACCAAAUGCAAAGGCAGUUUGCUAGAACAGUUCUGACGCUCAGGGACGAAAGCGUGGGUA